rnacentral:rRNA from 1 species
AACGAACGCUGGCGGCAGGCUUAACACAUGCAAGUCGAGCGCCCCGCAAGGGGAGCGGCAGACGGGUGAGUAACGCGUGGGAAUCUACCCAUCUCUACGGAAUAACGCAUGAAAACGUGUGCUAAUACCGUAUACGUCCUUCGGGAGAAAGAUUUAUCGGAGAUGGAUGAGCCCGCGUUGGAUUAGCUAGUUGGUGGGGUAAAGGCCUACCAAGGCGACGAUCCAUAGCUGGUCUGAGAGGAUGAUCAGCCACACUGGGACUGAGACACGGCCCAGACUCCUACGGGAGGCAGCAGGGGGGAAUAUUGGACAAUGGCGCAAGCCUGAUCCAGCCAUGCCGCGUGAGUGAUGAAGGCCCUAGGGUUGUAAAGCUCUUUCACCGGUGAAGAUAAUGACGGUAACCGGAGAAGAAGCCCCGGCUAACUUCGUGCCAGCCGCCGCCCGUAAGAC